AACGGCGAGUGAAGCGGCAAAAGCUCAAAUUUGAAAUCUGGCUCCAUGCGGAGCCCGAGUUGUAAUUUGGAGAGGACACUUCGGGUGCGGCCACGGCAUAAGUUCCUUGGAACAGGACGUCAUAGAGGGUGAGAAUCCCGUCUUUGGCUGCUGGACCGCGCCCAUGCGAAGUUCCUUCGACGAGUCGAGUUGUUUGGGAAUGCAGCUCUAAGUGGGUGGUAAAUUUCAUCUAAAGCUAAAUAUUGGCCGGAGACCGAUAGCGCACAAGUAGAGUGAUCGAAAGGUUAAAAGCACCUUGAAAAGGGAGUUAAAUAGCACGUGAAAUUGUUGAAAGGGAAGCGCUUGCAACCAGACUCGGUCGUGGGGGCUCAGCGGGCAUGCGUGCCCGUGUACUCCCCCAUGCUCCGGGCCAGCAUCAGUUCUGGCGGUUGGUUAAAGGCCUCUGGAAUGUAUCGUCCUCCGGGACGUCUUAUAGCCAGGGGCGCAAUGCGGCCAGCCGGGACUGAGGAACGCGCUUCGGCACGGAUGCUGGCAUAAUGGUUGUAAGCGGCCCGUCUUGAAACACGGACCAAGGAGUCUAACAUCCACGCGAGUGUUCGGGUGUCAAACCCGUGCGCGCAGUGAAAGCGAACGGAGGUGGGAGCCCGCAAGGGUGCACCAUCGACCGAUCCUGAAGUCUUCGGAUGGAUUUGAGUAAGAGCGUGGCUGUUGGGACCCGAAAGAUGGUGAACUAUGCCUGAAUAGGGUGAAGCCAGAGGAAACUCUGGUGGAGGCUCGCAGCGGUUCUGACGUGCAAAUCGAUCGUCAAAUUU
rnacentral:rRNA from 2 species